AUUGAACGCUGGCGGCAUGCUUUACACAUGCAAGUCGAACGGUAACAGGUUAAGCUGACGAGUGGCGAACGGGUGAGUAAUGCAUCGGAACGUGCCCGGUCGUGGGGGAUAACGCAGCGAAAGCUGCGCUAAUACCGCAUACGAUCUGAGGAUGAAAGCGGGGGACCGUAAGGCCUCGCGCGAUCGGAGCGGCCGAUGUCAGAUUAGGUAGUUGGUGGGGUAAAGGCCCACCAAGCCAACGAUCUGUAGCUGGUCUGAGAGGAAGACCAGCCACACUGGGACUGAGACACGGCCCAGACUCCUACGGGAGGCAGCAGUGGGGAAUUUUGGACAAUGGGCGAAAGCCUGAUCCAGCAAUGCCGCGUGCAGGAAGAAGGCCUUCGGGUUGUAAACUGCUUUUGUACGGAGCGAAAAGGUCUCCUCUAAUACAGGGGGCUCAUGACGGUACCGUAAGAAUAAGCACCGGCUAGCUACGUGCCAGCAGCCGCCGUAA
rnacentral:rRNA from 1 species